CCUACGGGUGGCAGCAGUAGGGAAUAUUGCACAAUGGGGGAAACCCUGAUGCAGCAACGCCGCGUGGGGGAUGAAGGUUUUCGGAAUGUAAACUCCUUUUGUUAGAGAAGAUAAUGACGGUAUCUAACGAAUAAGCACCGGCUAACUCCGUGCCAGCAGCCGCGGUAAUACGGAGGGUGCAAGCGUUACUCGGAAUCACUGGGCGUAAAGAGCGCGUAGGCGGGAGAGCAAGUCAGAUGUGAAAUCCUAUGGCUUAACCAUAGAACUGCAUUUGAAACUGUUAGUCUAGAGUAUGGGAGAGGUAGGUGGAAUUCGUGGUGUAGGGGUAAAAUCCGUAGAGAUUAAGAGGAAUACUCAUGGCGAAGGCGACUUGCUAGAACAUAACUGACGUUGAUGCUCGAAAGCGUGGGGAGCAAACAGGAUUAGAUACCCUAGUAGUC
rnacentral:rRNA from 1 species